rnacentral:rRNA from 1 species
GAUUAACGCUGGCGGCGUGCAUAACACAUGCAAGUCGAACGAUGAAACUUUAAUGAACCCUUCGGGGAGAAUUAAAGCGGAUUAGUGGCGAACGGGUGAGUAACGCGUGAGUAACCUGCCUUACACAAGGGGAUAGCCUUUGGAAACGAAGAAUAAUACCCUAUAAAACCAUAAAAGCACAUGCAAUUAUGGUCAAAGUGAUAGCGGUGUAAGAUGGACUUGCGUCUGAUUAGCUAGUUGGUGAGAUAAAAGCCCACCAAGGCAACGAUCAGUAGCCGGCUUGAGAGAGUGUACGGCCACAUUGGGACUGAGACACGGCCCAGACUCCUACGGGAGGCAGCAGUGGGGAAUUUUGCACAAUGGGGGAAACCCUGAUGCAGCGACGCCGCGUGAUUUAGAAGGCCUUCGGGUUGUAAAAAUCUUUUGUAUAGGAAGAAAAUGACAGUACUAUACGAAUAAGGUCCGGCGAAUUACGU